rnacentral:rRNA from 1 species
UACGUAGGGUGCGAGCGUUGUCCGGAAUUAUUGGGCGUAAAGAGCUCGUAGGCGGUCUGUCGCGUCGGAUGUGAAAACCCGGGGCUCAAUCCCGGGCCUGCAGUCGAUACGGGCAGGCUAGAGUCCGGCAGGGGAGACUGGAAUUCCUGGUGUAGCGGUGAAAUGCGCAGAUAUCAGGAGGAACACCGGUGGCGAAGGCGGGUCUCUGGGCCGGAACUGACGCUAAGGAGCGAAAGCGUGGGGAGCGAACAGG